AAAGGCAAUGGAGAUGUGUAAUGGGGACUUAAUAGAAAAACUAGGUGCGCCAGCAACGACCAAUGCACCGAGCGCUGAUACAGAUGUUGUUAGUAAUGAUCACACAGCCUUUCCUGCUCCCAAAGCAACUCCUAACACAGGACAGAAUUAUACACAUAAAGCAUUUUCCUGGGGAUUUGUUCGAUCCCUUCUGUCAAAGGUCGCCCAAUUUGGUGUUAAUUCUCCUGAGGUAAUGCGAUUGAUUCAUGUUAUUAAUGUUUAUAGGCUUGCUCCACAUGAUAUAAGACACCUUGCUAUGAUUUUGUUUGAACCUGUACUGUAUGAUAUAUUUCAAGAUAUGUGGAGGGAGUUAGUCGAGAGUGCUGCCUUAAACAAUAUGCAACUCCCACAGCAACACCCCUGUCAUGGGGUGGGAGUUGAUGCCUUGAUGGGCACUGGGCCUUUUGGUGACCCACAGUUACAGGCCCAGUGGGAUCCUCUGGUUUUGGCACAGGCUCAACAAAUAGGCAUCAGUGCUGUAAUUAAAACAAUGGAGUUGGCACCUCCAAAACAGAAAUGUUUUGCUCCCAAAGAGCAAGGACGGGGAAUGGCACAAGGCCCAAAAAAUAAUGAGCAAAAGAUGAAAGCUAAAACAAAUUUGAGCUGUAAGACUAUUUGCAAUCACUGUGGUAAAUCUGGAUACUACACUAAACAAUGCAAACAGAAAGCUGUUGCAGGGAAACUGGAAGAAGAGCACAAAGCAGUGUGGGGGGACAACAACCACAAGCUCUCCCAGCACUGAAAAGCUGUCAAUUUGUGGACAAUAUUCAGGGGCCAUAAGGGGCUCCACAGAGGUAAAUACAUAGAUAUACCCACCGUGUACACAGUAGGUAUUGCAAUAAAACAAAUAUGCAAAGUUCCUCAUGAUGCCUAUAGUCCCAUAGGACGCAGGCUGAGUGCUUUUUUGAUAGGGAGAUCAAGCAGUAUUAUUAAAGGUAUUUAUGUACUUUUAGGGAUUAUUGAUGCUGAUUACCUGGGACAAAUUCAUGCUAUUUUAUCUGUUAGUGAACCCCCUGUUAUCAUUCCGAAAGGUACUUGCAUUGCUCAACUUGUUCCCUUUGUGAGUUGUAUUCCAAAUACAGUGAACCGGAGUGGUGGCACUGGAGGUUUUAGAUCUACAAGAGCACCUCGAGUAUUUUGGACUCAGAAAGCGCCAGAGAAAUGUCUGGAAAGAACAUGUGUCAUCACAGCCAAGGGACAUCAUGCAGAGACUAUAACAAUAACAGGAGCUCCAUCACACAUAAAGACAGAUAAUGGCCCAGCCUAUGCUUCUCAAAAACUGCAAAUGGUUUUCUGUGCUUGGGGCAUUGAUCAUUCUACAGGGCCCUGCAGAAAUCCUUGGCAGCUGUGUUUGCUGCUCAAAUACAAAGAAAACGGGGAACUGUGGCUGAGAUGGGUCAGAUGAAAGAGUUAACAGAAAGAAGAAGCCAGCAGGAUUCUUGUGUGUCCAUGGGAAGAAGAAAAAGAAGAUAAAGGUAGAGGAAAACAAAGAACAUCAGUGUUGAGAAAAAAAAACAUGAAAAAACAAGAUCCAUCUCUAUUUUGGAUUUUUGGGGAUACUUUCUCAAAACAGUGCUUCCACCAGGGGACUUGAGGGGUGGUGUGAUGAUGGCAAAUUAAACGGGGUGCACUAUGGCCAGAAGGGUAUAAAAAUGCUGUG